UUUUUUCGGAGAAAACUUAGCACUUAGAGCGAUUUAGGCAUAUUUCCGUUUUUGUUAUUUCGAGCUACGACUCAAUUAGGUUUAGUCGUCUUAGGGUUGCUAGAACUAGGAAUCUCGCCGACAGCUCUCGAGCCCAGGCUUAUACCUUGUUGUAACGCUCAAACACGGAUUCGGAAUAAGAUCUAUUUUGCCCUCUUUUUACGAUUUUUGUACUUUGUCGUUGAUAUCUCGUGUUCUGAUUGCUUAGCGUAUGGUAUUAAUAGAUCUCCGGGACCUCUAGGAAAUUAGGGUUUUCCUAGUUUCCU
rnacentral:lncRNA from 1 species